rnacentral:lncRNA from 1 species
GCUGGAUUUUCUGGCAGGGGAUGACAUAAGAUGACUUGUGGGUAGGCCAGUCUGAGGCUGGGGAGGUGGCAGGGCAAAUGGAGAAGCAUGUGUGGACUUAAGAGAGGUUGGGAAGGUGUGUUUGAGUAGACUUGGAGUGGCCGUGAGAGGGAAGGGAGACACGGAUGGCUCCAGGUUUCUAGCUUGUAGUACUGCACGGAUAAUGGGGUGAAACCUAGACAAGAGCCCUACACGGGGACACUGGUAGGACAUCCCUGACAGCUGAGGUCAUGCUGGCCCUAUGGUUUGGGGAAAAUCUUGUGCUGUGCUCUGGCCUAGAGGGUAGGAAAACUCUACCAGGUGCCACUACACGCAUGAGCUCUCUGUCCUAAGCCUCUCCUGCUCAGCAUCCUCUCCCCACUCUUCACUGGGUGAUCUUAUUCAUGGGCAAGACUUCAAUUCCCAUGUCCACACAGAUGAUGGAGUCGCAGUUU